GGUCACCCUGCUAUUGAUCUGUCCCAUAAUCAUCUGCGGUGCCUGUAGGUCACCCUGCUAUUGAUCUGUCCCAUAAUCAUCUGCGGUGCCUGUAGGUCACCCUGCUAUUGAUCUGUCCCAUAAUCAUCUGCGGUGCCUGUAGGUCACCCU